ensembl:misc_RNA 7SK 7SK RNA
GGAUGUGAGGGCGAUCUGGCUGCAACAUCUGUCACCCCAUUGAUCGCCAGGGUUGAUUCGGCUGAUCUGGCUGGCUAGGCGGGUGUCCCCUUCCUCCCUCACCGCUCCAUGUGCGUCCCUCCCGAAGCUGCGUGCUCGGUGGAAGAGGACGACCAUCCCUGCUAGAGGAGGACUGGUCUUCGGUCAAGGAUAUACGAGUAGCUGCGCUCCCCUGUUAGCACCUCCAAACAAGCUCUCAAAUUGGUUCAUCUUUUGAAAGGGGCAAAAUGUUUUUAUUUAUUUAGAAAGUGAAAGAGAAAGCGAGGGAGGGGGGAAGGGAGAGAUCAGUCUUUAUCU